AUGCAUUCGAGAAACAUAGAAGUUGAUAUAUCUCUUCUUAAAAAAGAAUUUGAAUACAGUCCAUCAUCUGAAUUGGGUUCAUCUUUGAUUGUAGAGGCGGCUGACAUGGUCAACAUAUUUAUCAAAGAAACCCCCUGGCUUUUGAAGAAUUGUACUUUAUACAUCUGGAUCUGCACAUCCAGGCAAAGGUCAGAAAUAUCCGUUUAUUCUUUUAACCACACGGAUGUCUCUAUUUUUGGAAGAGCAAGGAAAUAUAUAAAUGCCUGGGUUGUAUUUGUGCUGUAGUUGCAAACACCGAGCAGUUAAGAAGAUUUUGCCGAAUUUUGCAAAGCAGCCAACAAACCGCCUUGGGAUCGUGGUAAUGCGACUGGGAAGACCUUUGCUCUCAUUUGGCAAUAUUUUGGAUAUCCUUGAAAAUGACACCAAAAUAUGCCUUAAUUUGACUAAGAAGAGGUUAAACAAUAUUGGUAUUCAUCCAAAGUGAUUUUUUUUUUUAAAGCAGAUGCUUGGCUUUCAUGGAAAAAAUGGGAGUUGUGGAAGAUUCAUUUAAACUACCAACCAAAAGCAUCCUAGACCACUGAAAUAGUCUGCAUCGUACAUCAGCACUUUCUUUUCAUCUUUCUUACGUAAAACCUCUGGAAGCACCUUGGGCGGUUUACAUUUUCUUUUCUUUGCUACAGAAGCAGUCCCUUCCAUGGAAUUCUGACCUGUGGUGAACAGGACCCUGGCAAAGGCUCUGCUGGGGACUCUAGGAAGAUCCCGCCUCCGAUCCAGCCUGGUUAAUUGUGAAAAGUGUACACAUUUCUGGCUUAUCUAUGCUUUGUUAUGGGUCUGACGUGAAACUACCUCCUCCCCAGCCCACCCCCCAGCAGAGCACCAAAAUCCAGUUGAAUUGUUACAGUGUUUCGGAGCUGGAGCCUUGAACUGCUUCCUUGGUCAAAUAACUUUGUUUCUGUGUAAAAAGGCAUUUCAGGGGUGGAAAAAAAAGGAAAAUCGAGAGAAAUUCAAAACGUAAGUCUGUACUGGGGUGGUUCACCGCGCGGAUUUAACUUUGGAGUUCCCAGUCAGGCUCCUUCCCCACUCCCAAAAGGGAAAUACCAAGCUAUUCUGCACGUUUACGCUUAAGCUUCAUUUUCCAAAGGAAAAGGGGGAGGGGUGUAUCUAUUUAGGCUUGAUAAUGUCUUAAAAAUGCUUUUCUUUGAGAUGAUAAUAGCUAUAGCGGUAAAAUGCAAAUAAAGCAAAAAAUAGGCAAUAUUCCUUUAAAGGCGAAUAUACAGGUUUUUUUUUUUUUUUUUUUUUUUUUUUUUUUUUUUUUUUUUUUAAAGCGUACACACACUGCUUCUGAUGAAGUCUGUGAGUCAGGCUGUUUCUGAGCUUCGAUAGUUUAAUGGAAAGAUUUAUAUACCGACUGUAUUAUUUACUUUGGGAGGGGAGGUGGCAGUAUAAGGGUAUGCUAAUUAGUGGGAGAUUUUGGGGGGAAGGGGUGGAAUAUCAAUUUUUAUUGCAUCACCUGUCAGGAGUGUCCAAUCAGCGCUGGCUUUAGGGGAAUUAAUUGAUGAAGGUGUCUCCGGACGAGCUCACUUCACUCUGUCAUUUUAUUUGUAGCUAAAGCAGCGGCGGGAAUAGCAGCUGCAUUUCUUUUCUCUUUCUCCCUUCACAUUCCAUUAUCAUAGUGCUCCAAUGGAGAAGGAAGGAAUAGAGGGGCCCAGGUACUGAUCUGCAUCGGGGACUUAGACCAACACACUGGCAGAUCAGAAACCGGAUGGUUUUUUCCCUCUUUUUUAAAAAAACGAAAACCAAAAAAAAAGCAAGAAUCAAGUCAGUGUAAUUUCAUGUUUUUUUUUCCCCAAUAAUUUCGCCAAGAGUUUGGCACUCCCUUCGCCGGGAAUAACAGUCUUUGUUAUUUUAUUAGCAGGAUGCCUUGAGACACACGCAGCAUCUGGUGGAGGAUUACCAUACAUACAUGUGUAUGUAUGCGUCACGUAUAUAUUUACUGCAAAUGGUG
ensembl:lncRNA